rnacentral:rRNA from 1 species
GAUUAAGUUAUUAAGGGCGCACGGUGGAUGCCUUGGCACUAGAAGCCGAUGAAGGACGUUACUAACGACGAUAUGCUUUGGGGAGCUGUAAGUAAGCUUUGAUCCAGAGAUUUCCGAAUGGGGAAACCCAGCAUGAGUUAUGUCAUGUUAUCGAUAUGUGAAUACAUAGCAUAUCAGAAGGCACACCCGGAGAACUGAAACAUCUUAGUACCCGGAGGAAGAGAAAGAAAAUUCGAUUCCCUUAGUAGCGGCGAGCGAAACGGGAAGAGCCCAAACCAACAAGCUUGCUUGUUGGGGUUGUAGGACACUCUAUACGGAGUUACAAAGGACGACAUUAGACGAAUCAUCUGGAAAGAUGAAUCAAAGAAGGUAAUAAUCCUGUAGUCGAAAAUGUUGUCUCUCUUGAGUGGAUCCUGAGUACGACGGAGCACGUGAAAUUCCGUCGGAAUCUGGGAGGACCAUCUCCUAAGGCUAAAUACUCUCUAGUGACCGAUAGUGAACCAGUACCGUGAGGGAAAGGUGAAAAGCACCCCGGAAGGGGAGUGAAAUAGAACCUGAAACCGUGUGCUUACAAGUAGUCAGAGCCCGUUAAUGGGUGAUGGCGUGCCUUUUGUAGAAUGAACCGGCGAGUUACGAUUUGAUGCAAGGUUAAGCAGUAAAUGUGGAGCCGUAGCGAAAGCGAGUCUGAAUAGGGCGUUUAGUAUUUGGUCGUAGACCCGAAACCAGGUGAUCUACCCUUGGUCAGGUUGAAGUUCAGGUAACACUGAAUGGAGGACCGAACCGACUUACGUUGAAAAGUGAGCGGAUGAACUGAGGGUAGCGGAGAAAUUCCAAUCGAACCUGGAGAUAGCUGGUUCUCUCCGAAAUAGCUUUAGGGCUAGCCUCAAGUGAUGAUUAUUGGAGGUAGAGCACUGUUUGGACGAGGGGCCCCUCUCGGGUUACCGAAUUCAGACAAACUCCGAAUGCCAAUUAAUUUAACUUGGGAGUCAGAACAUGGGUGAUAAGGUCCGUGUUCGAAAGGGAAACAGCCCAGACCACCAGCUAAGGUCCCAAAAUAUAUGUUAAGUGGAAAAGGAUGUGGCGUUGCCCAGACAACUAGGAUGUUGGCUUAGAAGCAGCCAUCAUUUAAAGAGUGCGUAAUAGCUCACUAGUCGAGUGACACUGCGCCGAAAAUGUACCGGGGCUAAACAUAUUACCGAAGCUGUGGAUUGUCCUUUGGACAAUGGUAGGAGAGCGUUCUAAGGGCGUUGAAGCAUGAUCGUAAGGACAUGUGGAGCGCUUAGAAGUGAGAAUGCCGGUGUGAGUAGCGAAAGACGGGUGAGAAUCCCGUCCACCGAUUGACUAAGGUUUCCAGAGGAAGGCUCGUCCGCUCUGGGUUAGUCGGGUCCUAAGCUGAGGCCGACAGGCGUAGGCGAUGGAUAACAGGUUGAUAUUCCUGUACCACCUAUAAUCGUUUUAAUCGAUGGGGG